ACUCCUACGGGAGGCAGCAGUGAGGAAUAUUGGUCAAUGGGCGCAAGCCUGAACCAGCCAUGCCGCGUGCAGGAAGACUGCCUUAUGGGUUGUAAACUGCUUUUAUAUGGGAAGAAACCCCUCUACGUGUAGAGCUGUACGGUACCAUAAGAAUAAGCACCGGCUAACUCCGUGCCAGCAGCCGCGGUAAUACGGAGGGUGCAAGCGUUAUCCGGAAUCAUUGGGUUUAAAGGGUCCGCAGGCGGUCAAUUAAGUCAGAGGUGAAAUCCUAUAGCUUAACUAUAGAACUGCCUUUGAUACUGGUUGACUUGAGUUAUACGGAAGUAGGUAGAAUGUGUAGUGUAGCGGUGAAAUGCAUAGAUAUUACACAGAAUACCGAUUGCGAAGGCAGCCUACUACGUAUAUACUGACGCUCAUGGACGAAAGCGUGGGAGCGAACAGGAUUAGAUACCCUGGUAGGACAGUG
rnacentral:rRNA from 1 species